rnacentral:rRNA from 1 species
CAGGAUUAGAUACCCUGGUAGUCCACGCCGUAAACGAUGAGUGCUAAGUGUUAGAGGGUUUCCGCCCUUUAGUGAUGAAGUUAACGCAUUAAGCACUCCCCCUGGGGAGUACGGCCGCAAGGCUGAAACUCAAAGGAAUUGACGGGGGCCCGCACAAGCGGUGGAGCAUGUGGUUUAAUUAGAAGCAACGCGAAGACCCUUCCCAGGUCUUGACAUCCUCUGAAAACCCUAGAGAUAGGGCUUCUCCUUGGGGAGCAGAGUGACAGGUGGUGCAUGGUUGUCGUCAGCUCGUGUCGUGAGAUGUUGGGUUAAGUCCCGCAACGAGCGCAACCCUUGAUUUUAGUUGCCAUCAUUAAGUUGGGCACUCUAAGGUGACUGCCGGUGACAAACCGGAGGAAGGUGGGGAUGACGUCAAAUCAUCAUGCCCCUUAUGACCUGGGCUACACACGUGCUACAAUGGACGGUACAAAGAGCUGCAAGACCGCGAGGUGGAGCUAAUCUCAUAAAACCGUUCUCAGUUCGGAUUGUAGGCUGCAACUCGCCUACAUGAAGCUGGAAUCGCUAGUAAUCGCGGAUCAGCAUUCCGCGGUGAAUACGUUCCCGGGCCUUGUACCCCCCCCCCGUCCCCCCCAGAGAGUUUGUAAC